rnacentral:lncRNA from 1 species
UUUCUUCACAUCCAUCUAAAAUAGAUCCUGGGUAGAAGGUGGUUUGUUUCUUGAGCUUUCACCAAGAGGGAUGCCCAGGGAUAGAGAACUUAAAGAGAGGAGAGUUCCUUUAAUUAUUUUCUUGGAAUAGAAUUAAGGGGGAAAGCGCACACAGUUUUUCAAGAUGGACCAAAAGAUAAUAUUACACUAUAUUAUCCAGAGCACAUGCAUAUUCUGCAUCCAUUGUUUUGUUUGGUUGGCCAAAAGAUUUCCAUGAAAAAGAUAGUUCAUCAACUACUCUGCUUUUGUGGGUGAUACUCAGCAGAAAUAGCACUAGAAAGAAUUCCCGUUAAGAUCUGUAAGACAAUGAGAAAGAAGAGUAUCAUUUAAGGUUAUCAUGUUUACCUAAUAAUCAAAGUCUUUGGAAGUUCCCAGGCUAAGGGUCAAAUUGGGCUAUGUGUGACCUACGCUGCAACUUGCACCAGUGCUGGAUCCUUAACCCACUGAGCAAGGCCAGGGAUCAAAUCUGCAUCCUCAUGGAUACUGGUCAGGUUCUGAAUUUGCUGAGCCACAGUGGGAACUCCCCAAGUCUUCAACUUUUAAAGAGACCAUUCAUAACAGUUGCCAAAAGAGAGCCAUGCUGGGAAAGAAAAUAGUGUGAGUGUUGUAGGGGGUAACUGAGAAGGGGUCAUUAUUAUACAGUAAAGGUAAUGGACGUUUUAUGUAGGUGGUAUAGGUACCCUAAAGAAUGCAUGCCAAGAGAGGUUACCAAAUUAGAUCUUUUAUAAAUUUGAUGUUUUAUCUCCAAGAAUUGCUAAAUUUGUUUUGGGGAACUGAGCCUCAAAUAAUAACAUAAUUCAUGGUUGACAAAAAUCAUGUUAUAUGUCAAAUAUAUCUCAGUUUAAAAGAAAAAAAAACAUAUUACAAUAAUAUUUUAUUUUGCUCUUGCAGUCUUUGUUUUGGGAUUAAAUAUUAAGGAAAAGAAAAUCACUCCUCAAAUAACUAAUGAAAAUAUCUAUAGAAUUAAACUAUUACUUAAACAAAUGUAAACAUAAUUAAUUGUGACCAACUUGUAUGCAUAUUCUAGGGGUUGCAAUGGCUUGUUAAGAUGGUAGCCUUUGUGAUUUGUAUGCGUGAACCACCAACUCCCUGUCUGAAGAAUGAGAGACAACCUUGACCAGCUGACCCUAAAACAGCACCAUUUCAUUACAGACCUUCAUCAGGGAAGUCCACUUUUGCCAUUUAUACUCCCCAGUCUCAAACACUACAAUGUUUUAUAUGCUGCUGCCCUUGUAAAAGACAGGAAACUCAAAACAUACUAUCUCUUUGGUAUCAUAUCUGUCUCCUCUUUCAGUGUUUGUGGCUCUGUAUUACUACAAGCUUUCCUUUCAUGCUUACUUGGACCAUUUAAAGAAUCUGGUAACUAGUGUUUUUCCCUCUAGACUUUCCAUUACCCAUCCUCCACCUGGUUGCUGGAAUGAUCAGCUUUAAAUGAUAAAUCUAAUCAUAUACUCUUCUGCCCCAAUGCCAACAGAAUAAACUACUAAUUGUCUUGUAUCCUAUGUAGGGCCCUCCAUAAUCAUGCAUCAGUGAUUCCGGUCCCUAAGCACUGAGAACAUUGCCUGGCACGUAGGAGAUUUUUAGUAAGUAGACGUUCCUGGAGUAAAAUGAAUGUGGAAACUCAAAGAGCUAUGGAGUGCCCCACCCACCAAAGGAUGAUCUAUUUUCCAGAAAUAGAUGAAUUUUUCUUCUUUUUUGGAAAUUGCUUUAAACAAUUUUAAACCUAGACUCUCUUCAUUAGCAGAUUUAGAUUUUCUUAAUUACAAAUAAUUUCAUAAUUUUCCUGAUUAACCCAUUUCAUUUUGCUCAGUUGCUUUGGUGAUCAACAAUAAUAGUAGCAUUAAUACCUGUAAUAUAGAAGGAAGGUGAUUUUAUUCUUUUUUGAACUUUCUAAAACAAUUAAAGCAUAGUUGAUUUACAAUAUUGUGUCAACUUCUGUAAAGCAAAGUGACUUAAUCAUACACAUAUAUACAUUCCCUUUCCUCUCUUAUGUUUCAUCGUCAUCUAUUGCAAGAGACUGGAUACAGCUCCCUGUGCUAUACAUAGGACUUCAUCGCAUAUCCAUUUGAACUGUAAUAGUUUGUAUCUACUAACUCCGAAUGCCCAGUCCAUCCCAUUUCCUCCCACUUUUAAUAUUUAAAAUAUGUUGUUUAGAAUCACUUUUUGCACUAAAUCUGUUGUUAUAUUCUUAGAGCAGAUUUAUUGAAAAAGAAUUCCAGGAUCAAGGAUUAUAUAAACUUUAAGCGUUAUGAUGCAUAUUGUAAAAUGCUUCUGUUAAAACAUAUUAGUUUAGAUGUAGUUUAGUUAAUGUUACAACCAAAUUACUGCAUUUAAUAGUUAUAAAGAAGAGUACAUUGUUUUAAACAUAAUACAGGUUUAAUGUAGCUUAAAAGCCAUGGAGUCUCACUUGUCUCAAAAGAGAUUCAUUCACUCCAAAACCAUUUCUGGAACAAUUAAUGUGUGUAAGACACCCUCCCAGGCAAAUAAAUAAAUACAAAUAUAAGGACUACAGUUUAAAUGGCAAAGAUUAUGUGAAAAAUCAAAAUGUGUAAUUUGAUUUGGAGUCAAAUAAAAACUCUUGUCCUUUAAAAAUAUUAUGAUAUCCUCCAGGGAUAAUCUUCAGUUGUACUUGCUGAUAUUUCUUUCUCACAAUGUGUUAUCUUGUGAUUUGCUUUUAAUUAAAUUAAUAGAUAUCACAGGUUCACAAAAGGCGUCUAACACCUUCACUGAUGAGAUAUUUUUAAGCCAUAUUUAGUCAUUGUGACUAAAUUUAUUAUCAAACCUUAGCUCUGAAACCAAGCAAUUUCUGUGUAUUUUAUUUAUACUUUAGUUUCUGUUUACAUCUGAACAGUGUCGGAUGACCCCAUAUGGUUUCAAGUAUUUUGUACACAAAUACCGUAAGAUUAUUGUUUUGCUGUGUCUAACGUUAGUUUACCUCAUUGGCAAAAUAGUUUACCACUUUCUGUCAUAAUUUAAUUCUUAUCAGAAUUGAAUUAACUACUUAGUUUCAAAGGCC